rnacentral:rRNA from 1 species
GUCGACCGCCUGGGGAGUACGGCCGCAAGGUUAAAACUCAAAUGAAUUGACGGGGGCCCGCACAAGCGGUGGAGCAUGUGGUUUAAUUCGAUGCAACGCGAAGAACCUUACCUGGUCUUGACAUCCACGGAAGUUUUCAGAGAUGAGAAUGUGCCUUCGGGAACCGUGAGACAGGUGCUGCAUGGCUGUCGUCAGCUCGUGUUGUGAAAUGUUGGGUUAAGUCCCGCAACGAGCGCAACCCUUAUCCUUUGUUGCCAGCGGUCCGGCCGGGAACUCAAAGGAGACUGCCAGUGAUAAACUGGAGGAAGGUGGGGAUGACGUCAAGUCAUCAUGGCCCUUACGGCCAGGGCUACACACGUGCUACAAUGGCGCAUACAAAGAGAAGCGACCUCGCGAGAGCAAGCGGACCUCAUAAAGUGCGUCGUAGUCCGGAUUGGAGUCUGCAACUCGACUCCAUGAAGUCGGAAUCGCUAGUAAUCGUGGAUCAGAAUGCCACGGUGAAUACGUUCCCGGGCCUUGUACACACCGCCCGUCACACCAUGGGAGUGGGUUGCAAAAGAAGUAGGUAGCUUAACCUUCGGGAGGGCGCUUACCACUUUGUGAUUCAUGACUGGGGUGAAGUCGUAACAAGGUAACCGUAGGGGAACCUGCGGUUGGAUCAC